GAGCGGGCCGGACGGCCGCGGGCAUAAGGCGAAAGCCUGUGCGUGAGGAAAGUCCGGGCUCCACAGGGCAAGGAUAACGGGUAACACCCGCCAGGGGCGACCCUCGGACAAGUGCAACAGAGAUAUUCAGCCUCGGCGGCGCGCCGCCGGGGUCAAGGUGGAAAGGUGAGGUAAGAGCUCACCCAUCGCCUGGAGACAGGUGGAUGCUGUAAACUCUAUCCGGAGCAACACCGUGGAUGGGAACUUUCGGCCGGCCCGGCCGUCCCAGAGGAGGUGGCUGAAGCCGUGCGGCAACGUACGGCGUAGAUAGAUGGCCGUCGAUUACAGAACCCGGCUUACAGGCCCGCUCAU
rnacentral:RNase_P_RNA from 1 species